GUGAAAAUACGUCAAGUCAUCGUGGAUUGUCUUCCUUAUUCUGUACCACAGGUGGUGGAGGGGCAACACUUGCAUUCCGAAUCUAGUCCCAAUGAAAGAUUACGCGGGAAUGACCCCCCGCCCCUUGGCACACUUAUGUACCACAAAACCUUGGACAGGUCUAAGUAUGGAAGUAAGCAAAGUUGACUGUAUUUGUUGCUAUUGAAAGCAAAUUUCUCCACCAAUAUCAUAAUAUCAAUAUCUACUAAUAAGAGCAAGUUUUACGAUAUCACGCAGUAUGUCUUUCUCCCGCCUACCGUCGAUGGAGGCUCUUUUCGGCAAGAUAGUGACGGCCCCCUCCGCCACUUCCUCCUGGUCUUGGAUGGGGGAACUCUUGGCUCCCCAGCUGUCGGAGCCAACGAACAGGAAGUGGCCGGUCAGAUUGGCCUUUUUGGCAGCUUGCAACACUCGCCUGGAAGAAACCAAAUUGGCAUGAUUUUCUAAUUCUGUAACGUUAUCAGACAAGAAACACAGAAAACAUAAAAAUACAUUUUUUUGCCUGAAAAAAAUACCCUUUAAUAUUUUCAUCCGCUUUAGUAAAAAUAGAGAUCCAUCAAACCACAUCAGCUUUUUCUGCACUCACUUGAUGUCGUCCUCAUUGGCAAAGAUGAUGACCCCACGGGCGUUCGACGUCUCCAUCAGUCUCUUGAUGAUCUUUUCAAACUCCCCGGGUCUGGGCUCCCUGGGGAUCUUGAUGGACUGUGCAAUACACAGCCCUCCUGUGUUGCGACCAUAGAACGCAUCGUCAGUAGGUGUUCUGCACGUGCCUCUUGCUGUAUCACAUUCUGUGUGCUGCACGCUAAAGCUACGAAAACAUGUUAGUGUUUGACUAUAGUUGGAUCCGCCUAACACCCAGCAACAUUAUUCUCUGCCUGGGGGGAGUAAAAGUAAAAAGAAGUCAAGCCGAAGCUCUCACAAAAUCUGCCAAGAUUAGCGGCAACAAACGCAAAUCAAUGCAAGCAAGGAAGUUCCCACAAUGCUUAAAAUGACCAAAAUAUGUCAAAAUAUUAAUAUAAGUAUCACAGGUUAUGAUGAAUGUGUCCGUUCCUACAUGGGCACAGCAUGUAUAUAAAAUGAUAAAAGGUUGUUGAAUAGUUUCUAGAGUUUUAAUAAAGGCACAAUAGGUGAAUCCCAUCAUGUUGUAUUAUUAGCUGCCUCUUGCUAGCAGUUUUUCAAUAUUCAGAACUUACAAAACUUCAAGUAUCACAUAAGGAUUGGGAAUUAUGAGCAAAAAAUCCAACAAAGUGAAGUUUUAUUUUAGGAUCUAACAGUGAAAAAUGUCAACGUUUUCCAACUGGUUUAAAAAUUAUUCAGUGCCAACCGUCACAAAAGGUUCCAUUUUGGGACUUUGUCACAAAUCCAUGACUAAGACCAAAUUCUACUUGCAUGCACAACAAGGACUCGGGUUUUUGGGGUGAAUAUGCUUCAUCUGUGCAAAUGACUACACAACCUGCUUCUCUGGAAAUCUGCAGGAACGCAUCGACGCCGCUCUCGCCGUAGUUGCCUUCCGAUGCUAUUGUUGACACGUAGUUCCAACCCAUGGCUUUGACGAUGUCCACCAUGGCCUGGGCCUGGUAGGAGUCCGGAGGCACCACGCGAGAGAAGAACUCGUAUCGGCUGUUGUCGCUCAGCUCCGGGGCGGUGGAGGCGUAGCUGAUCUGAGGGAUCUGAAACACAUCCAUGAGUUCGUGGUGACCACAAGCGUUGCAUCGAGUGCUGAUAUGAGGUCACGGUGUCCCGUACAGAAGAACAAAGACAACCCUUGAUUUUUCCAUUUUUACAAAAGCGUCCAUCCUCCAAGGCGUGAUUCUAUCUCCAAGGCAAGGCUCUCCUCACCACGCCGAAGACGAAUCCUUGAUCAUCUCAGCUGCAAAAAGCCGCCACAGCACACCGAAAAGUGGAAGUUGUUCCAAACCAAAAUGAGAUCCCGACUUUGGAAUCUUUAGGGCAUGGUAUCAUGGCAGAGCCGAGGAAAGUGUGAGCGAGGGAGGGGGAAAAAAAAGCACAAUGUCAGCGCAGUGAGAUUCUACAAAUCACUGGCAAAUCCCUUAAAAGCUCUCUCAUGCUCUCGCUGGUUCUUUUCCCUCUGUGCGCAUCUCUGUCCGGGGCACCCCCGCCCCCGCCCCCCCUCCACUUCCCCUCCCGCUCUGUCCAUCUCACUCACUCUCGUUGCUGAACUCUCUCCUCGCUCCGUCUCUCAGAGCACUAAUGGCCACAGAUUGGGAUUAUCAUGCAGGCGUCUGUGAAGAAGCCACGAGGUGGACUAGCCCACUUUUUUUUUUUUUUUUUCAUACAGAUGAACCCAAUGCAGGAUCUCUCCACCCCCCACUAUGAUGGACCUGUGUCACUUUGAGAGAUUAGAUGAGUGAUUUGAUUCAUACGCUCACACACACUAACAUGCCACACACACACAUACACACACACCUACACACACCUGCCAACAAUGGCACGUUGCUUGCUUACAUUUACCUGCUAAACACAAAUUAGGGCUCAAAAGUCCAAAGCACUAUCACGCAAUUAUUAACUCCACCGGUGGCCUUUUCUUUUUCUUUGGCUUUUAGUGGUUUUUAUGCUACCACUGAAGGGCGCCGGUCAUCGGAGUCGCAGGGAACUGCAGCCCGUCCAAGCAUACCUGGACCAAAAGACCCGAACCGUUCACACUGAGUGGGAAGUGAAGCCAAGGACCCCUUCAGGACCAAUCAGGCCAUUUCACACCAUUUUGACUGAUUGUGUUCUGUGUCUAUAGAAACACGGAACCUACCAAAACAAAGAUUAGACUCCCUU